GAUGAACGCUGGCGGCGUGCCUAAUACAUGCAAGUCGAACGCUGAAGCUUGGUGCUUGCACCGAGCGGAUGAGUUGCGCACGGGUGAGUAACGCGUAGGUAACCUGCCUCUUAGCGGGGGAUAACUAUUGGAAACGAUAGCUAAUACCGCAUAAACGUCGAUAUCGCAUGAUAUUGAUUUGAAAGGUGCAAAUGCAUCACUAAGAGAUGGACCUGCGUUGUAUUAGCUAGUUGGUGAGGUAACGGCUCACCAAGGCGACGAUACAUAGCCGACCUGAGAGGGUGAUCGGCCACACUGGGACUGAGACACGGCCCAGACGCCUACGGGAGGCAGCAGUAGGGAAUCUUCGGCAAGGGGGGCAACCCUGACCGAGCAACGCCGCGUGAGUGAAGAAGGUUUUCGGAUCGGAAAGCUCUGUUGUAAGAGAAGAACGAGUGUGAGAGUGGAAAGUUCACACUGUGACGGUAACUUACCAGAAAGGGACGGCUAACUACGUG
rnacentral:rRNA from 1 species